UACAGAGGGUGCAAGCGUUGUUCGGAAUUAUUGGGCGUAAAGCGCGUGUAGGCGGCUUUGCAAGUCGGGUGUGAAAGCCCUCGGCUCAACCGAGGAAGUGCGCCCGAAACUGCAGAGCUUGAGUACCGGAGAGGAUGGCGGAAUUCCCCAAGUAGAGGUGAAAUUCGUAGAUAUGGGGAGGAACACCAGUGGCGAAGGCGGCUCACUGGCCCGAUACUGACGCUGAGGCGCGAAAGCGUGGGGAGCAAACAGG
rnacentral:rRNA from 1 species